UUGCCAUAAAACUAAAACUAAUCUUCUUAAUCUAUUUUGUCUAUCCCAUGCUUGAUGCUGUGUUAUCAGAUCACAGUAAAAUAAUCUUAGUCCAGUAUCUGGGUAGUAACUUCAGAAGAAGCUGGAAACACUGAGGCAGUCGGGGGGGAGAUAUUAGGGGAUGUAACCCUGCCAUGGAGUAUUCACUGACGUGAGUGAGAGAAUUGAAUUCGGAUCAAACAGCUCCUGAAUUCCACCAGGAUCACCCAUUUGCCAGUGACUGCACGCAGUGAGUAUCGUCAGCUGAAGCAGCCAGGAGCCUAUCUCCAUCCCUCUGGAUUGCACAUUUUGAGGAGGAUGAGUGAAGAGAAAAUCAUAGAAUCAUAGAACGGUUCGCUGAAUGAGAGACAGCAGAAGAGAUAUUCCAGCUGGAGGAUGGGGUGCCCAUGGGGCAUGUUUCAACCUUUGGUCUCCGAGGACCUCAAGAUGUGGAAGCCUUUCCUUCCUGGUCAGCAACAUGGGCUGGGGACAACCAGAAGAUAUCAAGAAACUGGGUAGGAGCCCAUCUGGCUGCCCACCUCAUCUGGUUGCAGUGCUGAGACACCAGAACCAUCAAAAGGAAAUCUCAGAUUUGCCCCAGUGCCUUUCCACCUUAACUGAUGUUUUUUUUUUUUCUGUCUCUUUCGAAUGUUGUACACCAAAAUCAUCAGUUCAAAUCAUGCAGAAAUUCGCAGUGCCUGAGAAGAAUUAAUUACACAGUCAUCAUGUUUCCAUAAAACUAGAAGGCUAUUUAUUUAUUUAAAUAUUUGUAGUGUUUGUUUCAUGCAAAUGAUCACAACUCUGAUUAUCUUAGUACACAAUGCAAAUUUAACUCGCAUCUAGUGGGACGAUGUGCUGGUACAGCUGGUUGGAAGCCAGGCAGCUUAGAGAAAUAUUCAUAAGGCAUCCUGAGACUAAAAAUGGCUUGGUGACCUCGGAAAGCUUUUUAGCAGCUUCUAUUGAGUGAACAAUUUGCUUGACAAAUCCCAUCCUCCUUAUUGUGUGUGAAUUAUCCACCAAAAAAAAGCUGCUGUUUUUAAGUAUGGCUUCGUUUUAAAUAAUUCCUCAAAGCUGCACAGACUUUGUCAGGGAUGUUUCGUUACCAGCCAUUUCUGCAGAGGGGGGUGAGCUGAGCUUCUGGUGACCCCCAUUCCUCGGCAGAGCACACCGCUUGGAAACAAACUCCUGCUGCAUAUA